AUUGGAGGGCAAGUCUGGUGCCAGCAGCCGCGGUAAUUCCAGCUCCAAUAGCGUAUAUUAAAGUUGUUGCGGUUAAAAAGCUCGUAGUUCGAGUUCAGUUUCGGACUGGAGUGGGAGGUCACCGCCCGGUGCUUGCCCUUUAGGCUCCGAACAGCUUCCGUGAGUGGAAGCCAAGCCGGUUCUGCCGGGGUGCUCUUUACCGAGUGUCCCGCGCGGCCGGCCAGUUCACCUUGAAUAAAUGAGAGUGCUCAAAGCAGGCUACUCUGGAAUACAAUGCCCGAAUGUUAACUGCAUGGAAUGAUGGAAGAUGAUCUCGGUUCCAUUUUGUUGGUGGUGGGAGCCCGAGGUAAUGAUUGAGAGGGACUGUCGGGGGCAUCCGUACUACGACGCGAGAGGUGAAAUUCAGUGACCGUCGUAGGACGAACAACAGCGAAAGCAUUUGCCAAGAAUGUCUUCGUUGAUCAAGAACGAAAGUUAGAGGAUCGAAGGCGAUCAGAUACCGCCCUAGUUCUAACCCUAAACGAUGCUGACUAGCAAUUCGCCGUCGUUAUUCCCAUGACGUGGCGAGACGCCCCCGGGAAACCUCAAGUUUUUGAGUUCCGGGGGUAGUAUGGUUGCAAAAGUGAAACUUAAAGGAAUUGACGGAAGGGCACCACCAUGAGUGGAGCCUGC
rnacentral:rRNA from 1 species